rnacentral:ncRNA from 1 species
GCAUAAGCUAUGAGGAAGACAAGCAGAGGAUUGCCAAUGUCUGCAGAGAGCCGGCGGUAGGUGUGAGUCGGUGAUAUGCAAUGCUAUGUAUCCCUUCUGAGCCGGAAUGCCGAAAAUUUCAGUAAGCGUUCCCGUGAUUCUGCGUGAAUGAAUAGGACUUGCUGGAGUCUGAAGUGGUGUUACGCAAUAGCGGCACAAUUUGAGUGGUACCGCGGGUAAUCAGAUCAUGAUACUCGUCUCAAAG